rnacentral:rRNA from 1 species
AUGAACGUGGCCCUCAUGCUGAGAUGGGUCUGGCGGAUUCUACGCGGCGAGGAAGGGUUAUGGCUGCAGCUCAUUCAGGCAAAAUACCUUAGGGGAGAACCGCUCUUGGCUUGCUCCCAGACAGACGGCUCACAAUUCUGGCGAGCCAUCCAAAGGAUCAAGGAGGACAUCCGCUUAGGGAUUUCCUUCUCCUUAGGGAACGGGCAUGGGAUCCAAUUCUGGCUGGAUCCCUGGCUGGGCAUGGAGCCAUUACGCGUCGCCUUCCCUGGCCUAUUCUCGAUUUGUGUAGAUCCGUCUGUUCUUGUGGCCACGGCCUUCCAAGAUGGAUAGUGGAACCUUGAGUUCCAUCGCUCAUUUGGACCGGCCGAGAUUAAUGACUGGACUACAUUGCGGGCCGCCCUGCCACUCGUGCUCCCGGAUUAUCCGGACAUAGUUUCAUGGCGGCGCACGCCGACAGCGGAGUUCUCAAUGGGCACGGCUUACCAGGCCCUUUGCCCGCCGACAACUCACCCCUGGCUUGUCCCUCUAUGGAAAGCCCCCGUCCCAUUAAAGAUUAAGAUUUUUUUUGGCAACUUCUAUGAGAUCGUCUCCCCUCGGGGACAGAGGUACUUAAGCAGCACAGACCUGGGGAUGGUAUUUGCCCCCUCUGUGCAGUACCGGAGACUAGGACACAUAUUCUCUUCUCUUGUACAGCAGCGAGGGUAUUAUGGACUUUCGUCCGCGAGGCGUUGGGGCCUGACUGGGAGGCCCUAA